AACAAAUUGGCAGGGCUGUUUUCCUCUGCCAUUGAUUGUGGGAGCGGGUGUUUUUCACCGCCGCCGCGUCACCCUGUCGGAAGGCCCGGGCCUGCGCUGGAGCGUGAACGAGAGGGACGUGAUGGCAACGCUACUCAGACAGGGGAUGACCGGCCCUUUGAUUGGACGCAGGGCCGAGCUGAGGACGCAGCUGAUUGGACGCGGCAGCGACAGAUGGACGACCAGACAAUGAGAUACUGACUGAUGGAGAUGACAGCGGGGGCCUGGUUUCUGUCAGCGACAAAAUGGACGGAGGUCAAGGUGUAGCCAGCAAGUUACAGAGCGAUGCUGUCGGCGAGAUGGAGGGACAAACACAGACGGAGGAGGAAAGAGAUGAAAGGAGACAAGAGGGACUGAUGGAGGCGUGAGAUUCUGACAGGACAAAACAAAAAAAAAUGGGAGGGAAAAAAGGGAGGCAUGGCCAUAAAUUAUUGGUUUAAAACCGCAAUAUCCAACAGCAAAAUGAAACUUUUUAAGGCCUCACAAGUUGUUUUGUUUGAUUGCAUGCCCAAAUCAUUUGUUUUGUUUGUUUUGCAAUACCCAGAUAGUAUCCAACUUGAUUUAGGAAGUGCAAAUUUUGCAAAUGAAAUUCAAGCCGCACUUGGGGGUAUUUUGAAAAAGCGAUUUAAGUCGGAUUUGUACAGACGCGUCUCAGUCUGGGCUCUCGUGUCAGAUUUCAAAGUGUCUUGUGUCACUCACAAGACCACACAACGAUGACAUCGAAUCCAGAGGCAUGGCAAUGUGUUAGAGCAGCCGAGCAGAAUGCUGACAGUCUGUUUUAUCUGAUCUGAUUUGAUCUAAUGAACACAUCUAAUUCUAAUCUUUUUAGAAUAGAUUACUAAAGGAAUACGCACUUUUACAGAGACAAUUUGUCUGAUGUGUCCUGAUUACUGCAAACCAUCGUGGUCAUUUUUUCGAUUGGCCCAUAAUGUUUCACAGAAAAUCUAAUCUGGUGGGACAGUUACUGUGAUCUUAGGGACUGCUGCUUUGGUCUUACGGAACACUAACUGUGUCCAGCACAGCAAGCCUUCAUUAUAUCUGUCAGCUCUGUCGAGAAAUAAAGGACCAGGAACUAGGAACACUGAAAAUAUAGGCUUCUUGUAUUAUCCAGCCAGCCGAAAUAACCAGCAUGGCUAGCCAGACGAGGUAAACGUUGUUAAAGAGGCAAGAUGAGGUUUUCAAUCAUAAAACAAUUAGUAAGAAUGGAGCAUAGAGAUUCAUGUAUGUGUGGAAUAACGGUUACUGUGGUACAUUUAAUAAAAGGUUUUGUACUUUGUAUAAUUCAGAAUGAGGAGCAAAAAUAAAGAAAACGCUGAAUAAAAGCUGACGAGUGAAACAAAGCAGUAAUAUGAAACACAGUCUUAAGAGUCUUCAGUCUGAAGAGCAGCAAAUGGAAACACUUUUCUGAGCUGAAAAUGGGGCAAAAACUGAUAGAUUUGUUUUCAAUAAAAUGUUCCUCUCACACAGCCAGUAAAAAUAAGUGUUUUUUUGCAAGCGAAUUGUCAGAAGUGUGAGAGAUAAAAAGGAUGACUGAUUUAAGUAUCACUGGCAUUAGCGGUGACUUUUAUGGGAUGUGAGUGAUUGUCGUGUGUGUCGUGGGGUUCCACCAUAUGUGGCUGAGAACAUGGGAGCGUCGUGCCGCUCGUUGCCCUGAGCGCCACACACAAACAAACCCUGAUUCCUGAGAAACAGGCCGCCAUAAUCAAUCAUCUUCAAACCCGUAUUUACCAGGAAACAGUGUGUGUGUGACAGGCGAGAUCAGCCAGCUGUCUGAGAAGGCACACGGCUAUUCUCACACUGGC